rnacentral:rRNA from 1 species
AGGACGAACGCUGGCGGCGUGCUUAACACAUGCAAGUCGAGCGGUAAGGCCUUUCGGGGUACACGAGCGGCGAACGGGUGAGUAACACGUGGGUGAUCUGCCCUGCACUUCGGGAUAAGCCUGGGAAACUGGGUCUAAUACCGGAUAUGACCUCCUAUCGCAUGGUGGUGGUGGAAAGAUUUAUCGGUGCAGGAUGGGCCCGCGGCCUAUCAGCUUGUUGGUGGGUAAUGGCCUACGAAGGCGACGACGGGUAGCCGACCUGAGAGGGUGACCGGCACGACUGGGACUGAGACACGGCCCAGACUCCUACGGGAGGCAGCAGUGGGGAAUAGUUGACACGAAAGUGGGACGAACGCCUGGAUGGCAGCGACGCCGCGGUAGA